AUUGAACGCUGGCGGCAUGCCUUACACAUGCAAGUCGAACGGCAGCACGGGAGCAAUCCUGGUGGCGAGUGGCGAACGGGUGAGUAAUAUAUCGGAACGUGCCCAGUCGUGGGGAUAACGUAGCGAAAGCUACGCUAAUACCGCAUACGAUCUAUGGAUGAAAGCGGGGGAUCGCAAGACCUCGCGCGAUUGGAGCGGCCGAUAUCAGAUUAGGUAGUUGGUGAGGUAAAGGCUCACCAAGCCGACGAUCUGUAGCUGGUCUGAGAGGACGACCAGCCACACUGGACUGAGACACGGCCCAGACUCCUACGGGAGGCAGCAGUGGGGAAUUUUUGGACAAUGGGCGCAAGCCUGAUCCAGCAAUGCCGCGUGCAGGAUGAAGGCC
rnacentral:rRNA from 1 species